rnacentral:rRNA from 1 species
GAUGAACGCUGGCGGCGUGCCUAACACAUGCAAGUCGAGCGAUCUUCUUCGGAAGAGAGCGGCGGACGGGUGAGUAACGCGUGGGUAACCUGCCUCAUACACAUGGAUAACAUACCGAAAGGUAUGCUAAUACAAGAUGAUAUAAGAGAUUCGCAUGGAUUUCUUAUCAAAGCUUUUGCGGUAUGAGAUGGACCCGCGUCUGAUUAGCUAGUUGGUAAGGUAAUGGCUUACCAGGGCGACGAUCAGUAGCCGACCUGAGAGGGUGAUCGGCCACAUUGGAACUGAGACACGGUCCAAACUCCUACGGGAGGCAGCAGUGGGGAAUAUUGCACAAUGGGCGAAAGCCUGAUGCAGCAACGCCGCGUGAGCGAUGAAGGCCUUCGGGUCGUAAAGCUCUGUCCUCAAGGAAGAUAAUGACGGUACUUGAGGAGGAAGCCCCGGCUAACUACGUGCCAGCCGCCGCGGUAACAC